AAGGUUGGAAGUGAAUUAGGGUUAGAAGUUUCACUCGCUUGAUGAUGUUGAUAGAGUACCGACUUUGGGCUGUAUUUAAGGCAUAAAUAGUCGUAUGGCAAAUAUCAUAUAAUUGAGAGAUUUUAAACAUCUACAAGUUUCUUCCUUUCUGCUACGUUCUACGUAUUGAGGUUAGGUUGAGGUUAAGUGAUCUGCAAAUAAGUAAUUGCGUGAUAAGUGACACUUAGUUGCCAACCCAAUAGUCCUAUUGAACCUGAUUAGAUCAUGCACCUACUACAUCGAAAUUGUAUUGUAAUUAUAUUAAACAUAUGAAAGCCCUCCCAAUUCUUAAUAUCGUAAACUGUCAAUUUAUAAGUAUACAGAACCACGGCAUGAGAAAGCAGUGAGAAAAUUAUCAACAACAAUAAUAAUCGAGAAUAAUGGAAACAUCAAAUGAAACUAAACAGAAGCUUCGUUUAAUCCAGCAUCGCUUAUUCGACAUCGUCCAACAUCGAAAGAUAAACUCGUGGAAUAAGAAAGGCAUAGCGUAGAUGAUCAAGUUACACAGAAGUCAAGUCGGUAAACAUCGCCUAUACUAAUCAUGUGAUGUUUGAAAGAUUAAACAAAAGAAAGAUUCAGCCAGUUGAAUCAAUCUGCAAUGAACAAAAUAAAUAUCGCGAAACCUUCCAUCAUCGCCAGGCGCAACAACAUUGCAAAACGCAAACGAUUGAAUAAAUAUAAACAAAUGAACGACGAAUCACGGCGGGGAGCGGCUGUCGAAAUCGAUUCCACGGGACUUAAACGCAAAUUUCUGAAGCUGGAACGCCAGGAAGAAACGCGACGACCUACAUACGUACGUCGAGGAACGCAAUCUAACGUAGAGGAAAUAUAAAAGCUGGCUCGGGUUGGUGCACGCCACGCUUUUCUGCUUCGGCUGAUUCCAGAG